AAGUUUUAAGCUAGCAAAACGAACUUUCCUAUCAUCAGGUAUUUCUUUCCACUCAAAAAAUUGAUCUAUCUUUUCUACCCAUUCAAGAAAUUGAUCAUGUUGUAGCUUACCCUCAAAGUUAGGAACAUCAAUUUUAAUUCCAUAGUCCCAAUUUCUUUGUUGCCUACGACGAUUUCUAGGAGUCUCUUCUUCACUUUUAGAAGUUUGAUCAUUAGGAUUAGCAUUAGUGUUGUUAACAUUCAAGUUCUCAAUUGCUUCAGCCAUGGUAUUAAUCUGUUGUCGCAAAUUAUUCAAUUGUUGCAUAAGGUUUUGCCAAUCAGCUGGAUUAUUAGCCAUUUCAGAGAAUAGAAAAGAUUCGCCAAAUAAAGCCAACAAAAAACCAAAUCAACUAAGGAUGAGAACUUGCUCUGAUACCAAAAUUGAUGUAUGCAACUUGAAGCAAAACGCAACGAGAGAACAACAAAGAGAAUCGAGACCCACAUUUAGAAAUUUAAGACACCACUUGGAGAACAAAAUAAGCUAAAUAAACAACUAAAUUUCAGAAUAGAAAAGAAGCGAUCAUCCAACAAAGCCAAUGCAAAAGAAAGUUAGCAAAAGAAACAAACUAAAAACAAACAAAAGCUUUCCUCAGAACAUCCUACAAGAGGACUCCUCACAUGCACCGAUUUUAGGAACCAAGGGUCCACCACUGCAAAGGGGUCCAACGUCCUUCUAAACUCCUCCAGCAAAUGUCACCAAAACAGCCAACAAAUCCACCAAAACAGCCAACAAACUUUACCAACGGAACUAGAAGAAAGAUACAGGUGGAGUGGAACUUGCAUAGAGAAGAAAGAGGUUAGAAGCCCAGACGAAGGGUGGAGAAGCUCGCAAGCCUUCCAAGAGGUAGAAGAGGGAAUGAACAAAGCUCUCAAGCUUUUCCAAGAAGAACCCGCAGAAAUUCCAAACGACUAAGCAAACCACAAGGAGAAAGCCACGGUUCCAGCAGCCAAGCACAGGAAACCAGGAGGCAAAUCUCGGGUCCAGCAGGUAAGUUCAUUUCACGGUAAAAAGGGGGGCCACAGCUGUAAAGUACGCAGCUACCCGAAGAGGCAGCAGCAAACCGUGGGAGAGAAAACCAGGAGAAACGCUGCAGCAGCCCAGGAGUCAAAAGGAAGGUGAAAAAACAAGUUCCACUCACCAAAUCUAUUCCUUUUUUCUUUAAUUUCAAAGCUAAACAUGAGCUCAUAAUGAGCUGCACUACUACUUGAUAUUAAUGAGCUGUCACCACUAGAAUUCCAACAACUAAAGCUCAAACCGAAAACAGCCAAGGCCCACUUGAAACCAGCAAACAGCCCAAAGGACAAGGUGGAUCCCAAAGCCAGCAAACCCAAGGUAGGCAUAAUCCAAACCUUUUCCUACCUUGAUCAUUGGAUUUACCACCAUCAUUGGAUAGCAUAAAAAUAAAAUAAAAAAAAUAGAAAAUAUAACUAAUAUUGUUCAAAACAAAAAUAAUGCAAAAAUCUAAAUGCAUCAGGGGGUAAUGUUAGACCAGCCUAAGGUCUGGUUGAACCGGUUCUAGUGUACAGGCGUAGGAUCAAAGGGGGAGGGGGAUGCAUGGAUGGGCCCACGCCAUAAUGAAGGCUUGGUUUAGGAGGGAAAAUUCGAAUUAGGGUCUGUUUUGGGAUUAAUGAAUUUUCCUUUUGCUUUAAGUAAUCUUCUUCUUGCUAGGGUUAGGUUUUAUCUUGAAUUAAAUCUGAAAUUUGAGAUCUUUGGCUUGAAUUUGGGCGCUAGACUUCGGCUAGAGAUUGGAGAGCUGAAUCUUCCUCUCGAAUUGAAGAUUUAUUGUAUCGGGUUGUUUCUUUUUAUCUCUUAUUGAAUUUCAAGUGCUUGCCUUGCUAUUUCUCUACAAAUUUUAUAAAAUCUGCUUGGUGUUUGCUGAAUUUCUCUGAAAUUCAGCACAUUUUCUCUGAUUUGUUGGUUGUUUCUUAUCAGUAAAUUCAACCCUUUUUAAGUAUUUUGAUCAUUUCAAAUCCUUAAAACACUUUUGUGAUUGGCUUUUUUACCUUAUAGAUGCCUUUGUGAUCACUCCUAAUAAGAUGUCAUUAGCAUAAACAAUAACUAUGAUGAGCUUGCUUGUGCAUGCGUAGUGAAAAUUGAAUGAUUUGUGAUGCUAUUGUAAGGGAAUCUUGAAUGAUAUGUGCAAAACUAUUUAACCCAAGCUUGUGGCCUCUAUUUAGGCUCAUUAUAUACUGUCUGAAUAAACAUAUGCUUUUCUCCCCUGAGCAACAUAUUCAUGAGGCUGUUCUAUUUGAAUUUCCUCAUUAGAGGAAUACAUUACUUAGAUCCUUUUACAGUAUAGACCACUCUUAAUUGAUGGUCAUAGAUUGGACAAUUCAGAAAAAGUUAGCUUACCAACUCGGGAGAAAAAUUUAAAAUAGUUUGUCCCAUAUACCUGUGUGAACCUUUUUGCUGUCAAUGGAUAUUUAUAUAAAUCGAUCAAGCCAUCAAGAUAAAAUUUAAUAGUGAACAACCAUCCAUAUGUAAUAUGUUUAACUAAAGAAGGGGGAACAACCAAAUCCUAUAUUUGACAUCUUAUUAUAACACUUAUCUUGAUAUCCGUAACCUACUUCCAAAGAGUAUUCUUCAGUAUGUUUUGAGGGCUUGGAAAGAGAGAUAGAUAAUAUAAUACUACAAAUGUAUGGUAGGAAGAACUUCGGUGAUUAAAUGACAUAAGAGUGAAUUGGAUGAGCAGUACAUUACCUUUUAUGUUUUCAUAGGGCAAUUAAAUAUUUAGGUUAAAAAACUCAUCAAUAGGUGGAUCCAAAGUUAAAUCUAACAUUGUGGAUCGUAGUAUCACUAUGGAAGGUGGUCAAGGUUAUCAAGAGUAAAUUUUUGAAGGGAUAAAUGUAGCUACAUAAGCUUAUAGAGGAGGAAGAAUAUGUGGUGAAGGCAUCUCAGAGGAAGAGGAUAGGGAAAAGAAAGGUGUGCUCUCAUGACAGUAACAUCGGUUGAAGUAUAUAAGCAUCAGGUAAGAGGAUCAUGCCAUAUAUAUCCUUAUGAUUGUGACAAUGCUUAGGAAAUAUGCUUCAAAUGACAGUUUUUGUCAUAUGAGAAAAAAUCGUGAACAAAGAAGGUGCAGCCAAAUAUGUUUAAGCAAGUGAAGUUUGAAUGGGAAAAAGGUGGAAACGGGUGAAAGAUUAUUGAGGAACGGAGAUGGGAAAUGGUUGAUGAGAUCGUAGGUUGUUAAUAUCACAAUCCCUUAGAAUUGAUAAGGGAUAUUCAUGUAAAAUAUUAAUAUCCUUGCAACAUUAAGUAGAUGAUGGCUUUAAUGUUCAAUAAUAUUAUUCUGUUGAGAUGUGUAAAGAAAAAAAUGAGCGUGAAAUUGUAAUUGCAUAAAUUUAAAGCAUUAUUAGUGCUUAAAUUUUUGAUUAAGAUGGAAACAAUGAACUUUUAUGUCUUGAUAAUAGGUUUGAAAUACAUUUAAGGAUCUUUGAUCAACAUUUGAGCAAGUAGAUGUAAUUGACCAUGAAAUAAUCAUACUGAAUGUAACAAAAAAGUAUAAUCCUAGGUAGCUAAAGAUAUAACUAUUAUGGGCUCCAAAAAUUUGGGCCUCAACAGCUCUUAGAGAGCGUGUUUUCUAGGUCAUAGUUUUAGAGGACAGAUUUAGUUAUAGAUAAGACAUUAAUUAGGGAUUUUGGCCUCAUUUUGUGAAGACUUUAAGAUCUGGUUUCAGGUUUUCUAUAAGUGCAAUUCCUUAUGGUUAAUUAUCCCUUCUAGUGACGAAAGAGAAUCUUCGAUUAAGGCUAGUUGUUACAAACUAAAUAGUUUUGUGUAUAAUGGCAAUUUGAUUGAGGAUUGAGAAAAAUAUAUUGGUUUUAGCUUAAGUAGGUGUUGGGGGAAUGAUAACAAAUUCGAUCAAGAUCCCGUGAUUUUAUUUUGGGUUUUAAUAAUCAUUGGUCUACUUAGCCAGCGGAGAUAGUUGACCCAACCGGACAAAAUGACCCUU